AUGACAGCUUAUGAUUUAUCUGUUGUGCCAAGUAUCCUAUAUCUGCCUAGUUCCCACAAUAAACGAUUAGCAAAUGAUAUUGCCAAAAAGAUUUCUCUUAUAAACUUUCCAAUUGAAAACUCCCUGAAAUUAUUUGAAGAAGACUCAGUUUUAGUUUAUUAUGAGACCUCAUUAUUUCACCCUUAUGGAGUGGACUCUGAUUCCCAGAAUAAUCUUUCUAAUCCAGAAGGCAUGCGUGCUAUAAAAGGAAAAGGGCAUGCAAGAGCUAAGUGA
rnacentral:lncRNA from 1 species